UACGUAGGGUGCGAGCGUUAAUCGGAAUUACUGGGCGUAAAGCGUGCGCAGGCGGCGCGUUAAGACAGGUGUGAAAGCCCCGAGCUUAACUUGGGAAUUGCGCUUGUGACUGGCGUGCUGGAGUGUGGCAGAGGGAGGUGGAAUUCCACGUGUAGCAGUGAAAUGCGUAGAGAUGUGGAGGAACACCGAUGGCGAAGGCAGCCUCCUGGGCCAGCACUGACGCUCAUGCACGAAGCGUGGGAGCAAACAGGA
rnacentral:rRNA from 1 species